rnacentral:rRNA from 1 species
UACGUAGGGGGCGAGCGUUGUCCGGAUUUAUUGGGCGUAAAGAGCGUGUAGGCGGCCAAGUAAGUCCGGUGUGAAAACUCGAGGCUUAACCUCGAGAUGUCAUCGGAAACUAUUUGGCUAGAGUCCGGAAGAGGAGAGUGGGAAUUCCUGGUGGUAGCGGUGAAAUGCGCAGAUAUCAGGAAGAACACCUAUGGCGAAGGCAGCUCUCUGGGACGGUACUGACGCUGAGACGCGAAAGCGUGGGGAGCGAACAGG